GGAUGUGAGGGCGAUCUGGCUGCGACAUCUGUCACCCCAUUGAUCGCCAGGGUUGAUUCAGCUGAUCUGCCUGGCUAGGCGGGUGUCCCCUUCCUCCCUCACCACUCCAUGUGCGUCCCUCCCGAAGCUGCGCGCUCGGUCGAAGAGGAUGGCCUUCCCCUAAUAAAGACGGACUGGUCUUUGGUCAAGGGUAUAUGAGUAGCUGCGCUCCCCUGCUAGAACCUCCAAACAAGCUCUCAAGAAUAGGAAAGCUAUCAGGGGAGGGGAUGGGGUAUGGAGUUCUGGUGGUGAGAAUUGUGUGGAGUUGUACCCCUCUUA
rnacentral:snRNA from 1 species